rnacentral:lncRNA from 1 species
UAUAGCACAUCAUUAGUUUCAGAUGUAAUUUUCAGUAAUUCAUCAAUUGCCUACAACACCCGGUGCUCAUCACAUCAUGUGUCCUCCUUAAUGCCCAUCACCCAGUUACUCUGUCCUCCCCACCCACCUCUCUUUCAGCAACCCUCAAUUUGUUUCCCAGAGUUAAGAGUCUCUCAUGGUUUGUUGUCCUCUCUGACUUUUCCCCAUUCAGUUUCCCCUCCCUCCCUUAUGAUCCCUUGCACUAUUUCUUAUAUUCUGCAUAUGAGUGAAACAAUAUGACAAUAGCCUUUCUCCAAUUAACUUAUUUUACUUAGUAUAAUACACUGCAGUUCCAUUCACAUCGAUGUAAAUGGUAGGUAUUCUACUUUCUGGUAGCUGAGUAAUAUUCCAUUGUAUGUAUGUAUACCACCUCUUCUUUAUCCAUUCAUCUCUCAAAGGACAUCUUGGCUCCUUCCAAGUUUGGCUAUUGUGGACAUUGCUGCUAUGAACUUUGGGGUGCAGGUAUCCCAUCAUUUCACUAUAUCUGUAUCUUGGGGUAAAUACCCAGUGGUGAAAUUGCUGAGUCAUUAGGGGAGCUCUAUUUUUAACUUCUUGAGGAACCUCUGCACUGUUUUCCAGAGUGGCUGCACCAGUUCACAUUCCCACCAACAGUGCAAGAGGGUUCCCCUUUCUCCACAACCUCACCAACACUUGUUGUUUCCUGUCUUGUCAAUUUUAGCCAUUCUCACUGGUGUGAGGUAUCUCAUGGUUUUGAUUUGUAUUUCCCCGAUGCCAAAUGAUAUGUGGUAUUUUUUCAUGUGUCUGUUGACCAGUUGUAUGUCUUCUUUGGAGGAAUAUCUGUUCAUGUCUUCUGCCCAUUUCUUGACUGUAUUAUUUAUUUACUCUUUUAGGUGUUGAGUUUGAUAAGUUCUUUAUAGAUCUUGUACACUAGACCUUAUCUGAUAUGUCAUUUGCAAAUAUCUUUUCCCAUUCCGUAGUAGUCCUUUAGUUUUGUUGACAUUUCCUUUGCUGUGUGGAAGCUUUUAAUCUUGAUGAAGUCCCAAUAGUUCAUUUUUGCUUUUGUUUCCCUUGCCUUUGGAAAUGUGUCUAGCAAGAAGUUGCUGCAGCUUAGAUCAAAGAGGUUGCAGCCUUGGGGAUCCCUGGGUGGCUCAGCAGUUUAGCGCCUGCUUUCAGCCCAGGGUGUGAUUCUGGAGUCCCAGGAUCGAGUCCCGCAUCAGGCUCCCUGCAUGGAGCCUGCUUCUCCCUCUGCCUGUGUCUCUGCCUCUCUCUCUCUCUUUCUCAUGAAUAAAUAAAUAAAAUCUUAAAAAAAAAAAAAAGGUUGCAGCUGUGUUUUCUUUCAGGAUUUUGAUGGAUUCCCAUCUCACAUUUAGGUCUUUCAUUCAUUCUGAGUUUAUCUUUGUGCAUGGUGUAAGAAAAUGGUCCAGGUUCAUUCUUCUACGUGUGGCUGUCCAAUUUUCCCAGCACCAUUUGUUGAAGAGACUGUUUUUUUUUCCACUGGAUAUUCCUUCCUGCUUUGUCUAAGGUUAGUUGACCAUAGAGUUGUGAGUCCAUUUCUGGGUUCUCUAUUCUGUUCCAGUGAUCUAUGUGUCUGUUUUUGUGCCAGUACCAUGCUGUUCUGAUAAUCACAGCUUUCUAAUAUAUCUUGAAGUCAGGCAUUGUGAUGCACCCAGCUUUUUUCCCCCAACAUUCCUUCGGCUAUUCAGAGCAGAAAUCAAUGAAGUAGAAACCAGAAGAACAACAGAAAAAGUCAAUGAAACUAGGAGGUGGUUCUUUGAAAGAAUUAAUA